rnacentral:misc_RNA from 1 species
AAUUCUCAACCUCACCAGUUUUCUGAACUGUUCUUCGAGGCUUGGAUGUGGGGGCUUGUGCAGGCUGCCUCACGGCGGUCCGCUCCCCUGAAAUGCAUUAGCGAGUUCAUACUGAACUUCCGUCUAUUGGUGUGAUAAUUAUCUACGCCGUGGACGAGGAUCAGACUCGCUUCUAACCGUCCGCGAGGACAAUACCUUGACA